UUUACCAAAAAAUACAUUUUUUUUUUAUAUUUUAGUUAAUUUCCAAUUUUAAAGAUUGUAAUAAAAGAGUAUCGAGUAACGGAGUAUUUUUAAUCUUGCUUUUUAAAUUAGGAGUAGUAUUUUUAUCGCUUAAAAAUCAAAAAUAGAACCAAUAGUGUAUUGCCACUUGGCAAAAUUUCACUCUUCCACACAAAAAGCACAUUCCAUUUUGGGAAGGAAUAUUUCAUUCUUCCUUCCCAAGAUAUUUUUUUUACACAUGGGCAUUUUGGAAAAAAGGAAAAAAAUAAGCACACUUAAAACCCUACAUCUAGACACACUAUAAAUAACUAAAAAUAGAAACGUAAUGGACCCUAGAGUCCAUCAUCAUCAGCAACCGUAAGACUCUAACAUCAUCAAUAUCCAGCCGCAACACACUAAAAAACACACAGAAUCAGCUGCAUACAAAAAUGAAUCAACAAGUCCUUCUUCAUUUUUUCUAGACUAAGCACCUAGACUACGUACACUAAGCAACCACAAUAGCUCAUACACACAAAAACUAGCAACUCUUAAACCUCCAUAGCCAUGAAAACAAGCUCUUAAAACUCCAUAGCUACCACCAAACACCAUAUGGAUUUCCACCGUUGGUAAUGUCUCUUGUUCGAGGUCGCCGACGUGAUUUUUGAUUUUAAGUCGGACUCCAUUAAAGGUCCUGCUUUUGUCACGAUUUUUCUCAUCUUUUCCGAACAAAGGUUUCUGUUGAUGUACUUGGAGAUUCAUCAAAUAUAUUAAAGGCAUUUGGCUGCUGUAAAGAAGAAGAUUCACGAGACUUUUAAAAUAAUUUGGUAUGAAGAGCAUUACAUCAUCGAAUACAUGAUUGUUCUCAAAACUCUUAGAAGCUAGAUAAGGUCGAUGUGAUCAGAGAGAGGCUCACGGCUAACAAGCACGUGUGUUCAUAAUUUUUUUAUGGACAAUGUAUUCAAUAUCUUUGUGUAUUAAAGAAGAAAAAAAUGGCUGGCUUUAAAAUUAUUCCUUAAUAUUUUAUUGAUCGGCAUGUAAAUAUCAUUAGCUUUCUUAAAUUGAUUUACUUCGUACUUUUCGACUUGUAAUUUUUUGAAAUUUUAAUAUUUUUAUUUGUGUCAA